rnacentral:rRNA from 1 species
UAUAUCAUAUUAUCAAUGCAUUUGAUCCCAUUAGAACUAUGUAGUUAAGUGCACUCAGGAUAGAGUAGUACUUGGAUGGGUGACUGCUCGAGAAGUCCUGGUGUUUUAC